AGUGAACGCUGGCGGUAGGCCUAACACAUGCAAGUCGAACGGCAGCACAGUAAGAUCUUGCUCCUACGGGUGGCGAGUGGCGGACGGGUGAGGAAUACAUCGGAAUCUACUUUUUCGUGGGGGAUAACGUAGGGAAACUUACGCUAAUACCGCAUACGACCUACGGGUGAAAGCAGGGGAUCUUCGGACCUUGCGCGAUUGAUUGAGCUGAUGUCGGAUUAGCUAGUUGGCGGGGUAAAGGCCCACCAAGGCGACGAUCCGUAGCUGGUCUGAGAGGAUGAUCGGCCACACUGGAACUGAGACACGGUCCAGACUCCUACGGGAGGCAGCAGUGGGGAAUGUUGGGCAAUGGGUGUAAGCCUGAUCCAGCAAUACCGCGUGGGUGAAGAAGGCCUUCGGGUUGUAAAGCCCUUUUGUUGGGAAAGAAAAGCAGCAGGUUAAUACCCCGCUGUUCUGACGGUACCCAAAGAAUAAGCAACGGCUAACUUCGUG
rnacentral:rRNA from 1 species